UACAUGGGGUGCAAACGUUGCUCGGAAUCAUUGGGCGUAAAGCGCGCGUAGGCGGUUACUUAAGUCGAAUGUGAAAGCCCUCGGCUUAACCGAGGAAGUGCAUCCGAAACUGAGUAGCUAGAGUACGAAAGAGGGUCGCGGAAUUCCCGGUGUAGAGGUGAAAUUCGUAGAUAUCGGGAGGAACACCGGUGGCGAAGGCGGCGACCUGGGUAGAUACUGACGCUGAGGUACGAAAGCGUGGGGAGCAAACAGG
rnacentral:rRNA from 1 species